CCUACGGGCGGCAGCAGUAGGGAAUAUUGCUCAAUGGAGGAAACCCUGAAGCAGCAACGCCGCGUGGAGGAUGAAGGUUUUCGGAUUGUAAAAUCCUUUUGUUAGAGAAGAUAAUGAAGAUAUGUAACGCAUAAGCACAGGCUAACACCGUGCCAGCAGCCGCGGUAAUACGGAGGGUGCAAGGGUUACUCGGAAUAACUGGGCGUAAAGAGCGCGUAGGCGGGCUAGAAAGUGAGAUGUGAAAGCCUGUUGCUAAACCAUAGAACUGCAUUUGAAACUGUUAUUCUAGAGUAUGGGUGAGGUAGGCGGAAUGCGUGGUGUAGGGGUAAAAUGCGUAGAUAUCA
rnacentral:rRNA from 1 species